AGGGUGCUGAAGGGCCCGGGGCGCUGCAUCCCGACGCCUCGCUCAGGCCUCCGCUGAGGUCCCGCCCCUGGCUCGUCCGGAAGUCUGGUCACUUACGUACACGGUUUGUGUGCCCUGCUCCGUGGGCCUUGCUGGGAAAUGUAGUUCUAUCGCUUCAGCGACCCGCAUCUGCGCCUCAGUCUGGACUACCAAUCCCAUAAUGCUCUCCGUGACCGGAUGCGCAAUUGCAGGCGACGGCCUCUGGCGCGUCGCUCUAUAAAGUACGCUUAGACGCGGGAAGAUCCGUUUAUGGCUCCUUACUCGAGGGACGUGUGCUUAUGUCACCGUUAGGGAUGUUUUUCAUCUGGGAAAGGACUGUUAGACUUGACCCUGUUGUUUCUCCCAGCAGUGAGAAUGUGGCCAUGGACUAGACCUCAGAGUAGUGACUCUUCCGUAGACGACACGGCCCUUUGGAGGUGACUACUCCCUAGGAAACUCACAUGCGACACCGGCGCCAGCUGGUUUAUCUAGACCAGCACAGGCCCAAGGUCACAAGUUGAGAAGUACUUCUUGCUGUAGACAGUCUUCUGCACCUGGUAGCUGCACCUUGCUCCACCCAUUACAAGGACUUUCUAUGAAAACAGAUUUCUCUUUAUUCUCUACCUUUGAAGGUUUCUUGCUGUUGAGAAUAAUUAAGGGAUGAGGAAUUCUUAACUGCCCCCAUUUUACAGAAGAAGAAACUAAUGCUGACCCCAACCUUACCGACCACCUGGAGGCCCAUACAAACACGUGACCUUUGUGUUUCUCAGCUAUUAGUGGAAUCCUUUCUGUCUGUUCAUGAACUCAUCUUCAAAUGCAUUCCAGGCCUUCAGAACUCACGUGUGCAAGUCCCUGGUAUGGGCCACUGCUACUGCCACUUAUCACCUAGAUUUUCUAACUAUGCUGUGCCCCCUGAGGCCGGGAGCUCCUGAGUCUUCACCUUUGUCUGUAGGAGGAAAAGCUGUUUGAGAUAACAUUUGAAUAUUUGAAUCUCAGCACUUUGGGAGGCCAUAGCAGGUGGAUCACCUGAGGUCAGGAGUUUGAGACCAGCCUGGCCAACAUGGUGAAACCCCAUCUCUACUAAAAAUAUGAAAUUAGCUGGGUGUGGUGGCACAUGCCUGUAGGGCCAGCUACUCAGGAGGCUGAGACGGGAAAGUUGCUUGAACUGGGAGGUGGAGGCUGCAGUGAGCUGAGAUCACACCACUGCACUUCAGCCUGGGUGAGACACAGUGAGACUUCAUCCCCCCCCAAAAAAGUGGAUACUGUUAUUCCCAUUGGCAUAAAAGAAGUCCUCACUUAAUCAAGGUCACACUGCUUAUAAGCAAAGCUGGGAUACAAACCUUCGGUGAUUCUAGGACCAAACCCUGAUCUAAUAGAAUCACCUAGAUGGGGAUUUAUUAAUUACCCCACCACAUCACCAAUAUAGCACGAACUUUGUGUAAGCCACACAUGUAAUGGCUUUUCUCUUUAAAGCCACAAGUAAUAGCAGUAAAUCUUAAGACAAAAUGGUUAAGAAGGGGAAAAAAAACUAUAAAUGAGGAAGUACUAAAUGAAGAACUGGAAGAAACUUCAGAUCCAUAUGGGUGGAAGAGGAGGAAGAUAAAGGAAACCAAGCUUUGUCAGUUUGGUGAGGUAGAGAAAAGUCAGAGGGGAACUUUCUAAGACUGGACCACACAUCCAUGGAUCUUGUUGAGUCCGAGAAAAUGAUCACCAAGAUGAAGGUCUCAGAAGCAACUCUCCAGUCUCUGCCCCUUCUUUCUCCCCCCAGGAUAGCCGCAGAAACUAGAAUCCCUCUUCCCCAAAGCAAGUCAUAGAAACUAGUACCCCUUCCCCACAAAGCAAGCCAUAACGCCUAAAAAUAUUACUCCAACAUUACCCCACCUUUCUGUGUAAAGAUUGGCCAUAAAUAAAUUACCUGACCUACCAUGUAGGGAUAACCAUUCCAGAGAGGUUCUUGCUCCAUACCCAGAAGGAAGGACUGCUCCACAGAGAAGCCAAGAGUCAUCUAGGCAGGUAGGCCUUGCUGGGUUUCCCCACUCAUUCUGUUAGCAUGAGAUCAUAUCCUUUAUAUACAAUCAUAUUUAUUUGUGGCUAUCCAUACUUCUUGAACCUAAGCAUAGAAAUGGGGCCGUUUUUCCUAUAUUUUUGAGUCUUCACUCUGAAGGCUGCCAUGUGGUAUAAAAUGAUGAUCAAAUAAAUUUGUACUCCUUUUCUGCCAUUAAUCUGCUUUCUGUCGAUUUUCAGUGAAGCUUCAGAGAGCUAAAGGGAAGCUUUCUCUGGGCCCUUAGAACGUUCACAAAGCUGUCUCCCUUCCCUCAUUCAGGUUUAGCCUCAGAGGUCUUCCCUGAUUUACUAAUAAAGUACUGAAGUGAAAAAUUUGCCCAGAAUUUUGUCAG